rnacentral:rRNA from 1 species
GACGAACGCUGGCGGCGUGCUUAACACAUGCCAGUCGAACGGAAAGGCCCUGCUUUUGUGGGGUGCUCGAGUGGCGAACGGGUGAGUAACACGUGAGUAACCUGCCCUUGACUUUGGGGUAACUUCAGGAAACUGGGGCUAAUACCGGAUAGGAGCUCCUGCUGCAUGGUGGGGGUUGGAAAGUUUCGGCGGUUGGGGAUGGACUCGCGGCUUAUCAGCUUGUUGGUGGGGUAGUGGCUUACCAAGGCUUUGACGGGUAGCCGGCCUGAGAGGGUGACCGGCCACACUGGGACUGAGAUACGGCCCAGACUCCUACGGGAGGCAGCAGUGGGGAAUAUUGCACAAUGGGCGGAAGCCUGAUGCAGCAACGCCGCGUGCGGGAUGACGGCCUUCGGGUUGUAAACCGCUUUCGCCUGUGACGAAGCGUGAGUGACGGUAAUGGGUAAAGAAGCACCGGCUAACUACGUG